rnacentral:snRNA from 1 species
AUAGCUUCUCGGCCUUUUGGCUAAGAUCAAGUGUAGAAAAAAAUAGCAUACAGUUUAUGUAAAUUUAAUAAACAUUUUAUACUGCUCAUAGAUAUAUGUGUGCAUAAAAUCAGACUGAAGGCAC